AGAUAGAGUUUGAUCCUGGCUCAGAGCGAACGUUGGCAGUGUGUCUUAAGCAUGCAAGUCGAACGGCAGCAGGCCAUGUAGCAAUAUAUGGUGCUGGCGAGUGGCGAACUGGUGAGUAACACGUAAGAAUCUGCCCUAAGGUGGGGGAUAACUCAUGGAAACAUGAGCUAAUACCGCAUAAUGCGAAGCUUAUAGAGAUAUAAGUUUUGUUAAAGGAGAAAUCCGCCAUAGGAUGAGCUUGCGUCCCAUUAGCUAGUUGGCGGGGUAAAUGCCCACCAAGGCUAUGAUGGGUAGCUGGCCUGAGAGGGUGGUCAGCCACACUGGGACUGAGAUACGGCCCAGACUCCUACGGGAGGCAGCAGCUAAGAAUCUUCCUCAAUGGGGGAAACCCUGAAGGAGCGACACUGCGUGCAGGAUGAAGGCCCUUUGGGUUGUAAACUGCUUUUGCAGGGGAGAAAUAACCGAAUGGGAUGAUAGUACUCUGCGAAUAAGUCCCGGCUAACUACGUGCCAGCAGCCGCGGUAAUACGUAAGGGGCGAACGUUGCUCGGAAUCACUGGGCGUAAAGGGCCGGUAGGUGGCUUUAUAAGUCGGUUGUCAAAUACCUAUGCUCAACGUGGGAGAGGCGACCGAUACUGUAGAGCUUGAGUAGAGGAUGGGAUGAUGGAAUACCCGGUGUAGGGGUGAAAUCUGUUGAUAUCGGGUAGAACACCGAUGGCGAAAGCGAUCAUCUAGCCUCAUACUGACACUNCACGGCGAAAGCCAGGGGAGCGAACGGGAUUAGAUACCCCGGUAGUCCUGGCCAUAAACGAUGCAUGCUANGUAUUGGCACCCGCGUGGUGCUGGUACCGCAGCUAACGCGUUAAGCAUGCCGCCUGGGGGAGUAUGCU
rnacentral:rRNA from 1 species